rnacentral:rRNA from 1 species
UACGUAGGUGGCAAGCGUUGUCCGGAAUUAUUGGGCGUAAAGCGCGCGCAGGCGGUCCUUUAAGUCUGAUGUGAAAAGCCCCACGGCUCAACCGUGGAGGGGUCAUUGGAAAACUGGGGGGACUUGAGUACAGAAGAGAAGAGUGGAAUUCCACGUGUAGCGGUGAAAUGCGUAGAGAUGUGGAGGAACACCAGUGGCGAAGGCGACUCUUUGGUCUGUAACUGACGCUGAGGCGCGAAAAGCGUGGGGGAGCAAACAGG